GUGAGGUGAGGUAAGGUAUGGUGGGGUGAGAUGAGAUGAGUUACGGUAUGGUGGGGUGAUGUGAGGUAUGGUGUGAUAGGGUGAGGUGAGAUAUGGUGGGGUGAGGUAUGGUGGGUGAGAUGUGGUAGGGUGAGGUGAGAUGAGGUAAGGUAUGGUGUCAUAGGGUGAGGUGAGGUAUGGUGGGUGAGGUGUGGUAGGGUAGGAUGAGGUGUGGUGAGGUGAGCUAUGGUGGGUGAGGUGUGGUAGGGUAGGGUGAGGUGUGGUGAGGUGAGCUAUGGUGGGUGAGGUGAGGUAUGGUGAGGUGAGGUAAGGUAUGGUGAGGUGAGGUGAGGUGUGGUGAGGUAAGGUAAGGUGGAGUGAGGUAAGGUAUGGUGGGGUGAGGUGAGGUAAGGUAUGGUGAGGUGUGGUAGCGUGAGGUGGGGUGAGGUAUGGUGAGAUAUUGUGUAUUAAGGUGGUCAGUAGGAUGGUAAAGGGUUGUAGGACGGGGUCAGUAGGAUGGUGUAGGGUUGUAGGACGGGGUCAGUAAGAUGGUGUAGGGUUGUAGGAUGGGGUCAGUAGGAUGGUAAAGGGUUGUAGGACGGGGUCAGUAAUAUGGUAAAGGGUUGUAGGACGGGGUCAGUAAGAUGGUGUAGGGUUGUAGGAUGGGGGUUGUAGGAUGGGGUCAGUAGGAUGGUAAAGGGUUGUAGGAUGGGGUCAGUAGGAUGGUGUAGGGUUGUAGGAUGGGGUCAGU
rnacentral:lncRNA from 1 species